UUGCUUCUGAUUUAAGUUAGUGGCGGACGGGUGAGUAACGCGUGGGUAACCUACCCUGUGCAGGGGGAUAGCAGCUGGAAACGGCUGAUAAAACCGCAUAACACGGUAGCACCGCAUGGUGCAGCCGUCAAAUAUUUAUAGGCACAGGAUGGGCCCGCGUCUGAUUAGCUAGUUGGCGGGGCAACGGCCCACCAAGGCGACGAUCAGUAGCCGGCCUGAGAGGGUGAACGGCCACAUUGGGACUGAGACACGGCCCAAACUCCUACGGGAGGCAGCAGUGGGGAAUAUUGGACAAUGGGGGAAACCCUGAUCCAGCGACGCCGCGUGAGUGAAGAAGUAUUUCGGUAUGUAAAGCUCUAUCAGCAGGGAAGAUGAUGACGGUACCUGACUAAGAAGCACCGGCUAAAUACGUGCCAGCAGCCGCGGUAAUACGUAUGGUGCAAGCGUUAUCCGGAUUUACUGGGUGUAAAGGGAGCGUAGGCGGCCAUGCAAGUCAGGUGUGAAAUCCCGGGGCUCAACCCCGGUACUGCACUUGAAACUGCGUGGCUGGAGUACAGGAGAGGCAGGCGGAAUUCCUAGUGUAGCGGUGAAAUGCGUAGAUAUUAGGAAGAACACCGGUGGCGAAGGCGGCCUGCUGGACGAUAACUGACGUUGAGGCUCGAA
rnacentral:rRNA from 1 species